AGUUUCUAGGAGGAUGGUGAAAACGCACUAGACGGCAUUUCCAGUGACGUGACCCCAUUUUACACCGAGACCUGUGGCCCUUGGGGCCCCGUUUGGGGGCCCGAUUGUGGGCCCAUGAUGAGGCCCUCUCCUCUCUGUUCAGAACCUCUUGGUCCACCAGCCAUUUGUCCCUAUGGGCCUGCAGGACACUGGAACUCCAAGACUCGUUAUUUCCUGAGUGUUUCCGAGAGUACCCACCUGUUUCGUUUUAGACAACCGCUUCUUGGAUCAUCCGUUCGUGUUUCUUUGACCCGUUGUUUUUGGACUCCCUUUGGUUUACCGGUUUCUGAUUUUGGAUCUCCAGAUCAUCUGCCUGUCUGAACUGCCUUCUCUUUUUCGACCUUCCGCCUGUGACCUUGAUUACCCACGGGAUUACCUGUGUUGUAACUGUUUGCUUGGCUAUUGGACCUCUGCUUGUAUUACCACUCGCAAACUGCCUGAACUCUGUUACACCUGUUUGCUGGUUAUCAAACUUUGCUUGUCGACUCUGCUACCAACUCACAAAAGACUCUGAACUUUAUUCCUGUGGUCUCGCAAUUGGGUUCCUUGUUCUGAAGCCUGACAACCGCUAGAACUGACCUGCGUGAUGCAUGGCUGCCAUUUCACACCAGAACACUCACCACACCAGCUGAGGUAGAAAGGGAGA